AUUGAACGCUGGCGGCAGGCCUAACACAUGCAAGUCGAGCGGAUGAAGGGAGCUUGCUCCUGGAUUCAGCGGCGGACGGGUGAGUAAUGCCUAGGAAUCUGCCUGGUAGUGGGGGAUAACGUCCGGAAACGGGCGCUAAUACCGCAUACGUCCUGAGGGAGAAAGUGGGGGAUCUUCGGACCUCACGCUAUCAGAUGAGCCUAGGUCGGAUUAGCUAGUUGGUGGGGUAAAGGCCUACCAAGGCGACGAUCCGUAACUGGUCUGAGAGGAUGAUCAGUCCACUGGGAAAGAGAGACGGGCCCAACGCCCCCGGGGGGGGGCAGUGGGGGAAAUUUUGGAAAGGGGGAAAAUGCGACCGCCAACCGCGGCGGGGGUGAAGAAAGGGUUUGGGGAUUGAAAAGCUCUUUGUGGGGGAGAAAGGGGGAGAAAGUUAAAACCUCAUUUUUUGACGGUUACCAACCAAAAAGGCACGGCUAACUUCGUG
rnacentral:rRNA from 1 species